CACCAACAUGCUGCUUAUCAAAUGAGAGAUUUUUGCUAUGGUGAUUCAAUAUUAUAACUAGUAUAUGGCAAAUGUCUGCUUUACUAAAUAAUCAGCAGACACUGUAGUGCUUUCUGCUGCAGAAGACAUGGAUCACUGUUUUUUCUGGUUAUGACAACAGCACAGCUUUCAUCGCUACACUAAGACAAAAUGGCCUCACAUGUUUGGACAAGCCCUGCCCCAAUCUGAGCAUUUACCCUCCGGACACAUUCACUGACACAAAUACCAAGAAGGGGUCAACAGGCACAAUUACUUGCAUCUACUGCUGUCUCGUCUAACUCUUUGAUGUGGUUAACCAUCAUAAUAGGAUCUGGUCCACUUUCCAUCUAAUUAGUUCACAUUAUAUCAACACAACUUUCUUACCAGGCUGUUAAUAACUAGUGUAACCUUACUCACAGAAACUGCAGCUGUGAGACAGUCCGAUUUGAACCGGUUUUGUCCAGUUAUUGCUUGAGGAUGAGACUGUGCCCUCUUAAAGGGAUAGUUCACCCAAAAAUGUAAAUUAUGUCAUCAUCCACUCAGUUAUGCCGUUUCAAACACAUAAGUUUUUGGUUAAUCUUUGAAAUGAAAACUAAGAUAUUUUAUUAAAACCUACAAGGUUUUUGUCCCUUCACUGAACAUUUAGAUAAUCCAAAAAGUUAAUAAAGGCAUCAUAAAAUGAAUAAAUAUUAAUUAUACAAAUCUAUA